rnacentral:lncRNA from 11 species
CAGGGGAUGCUCUUUGACUUAUUCCAUAAAUAAUGCUUAGAAAUGUUAUUCUAAUUUGUUGUAUUAAAUAGGACUGGCUUUCAAAAGGACACGGAGAAUACCGGGAAGUCCCCAGUGAGAGAGACUUUUUUCAGGAAGUGAAAGGAAGCAAAAAUGUGGUUUGUCACUUUUACAGAGACACAACUUACAGAUUCAACAAUUUAUUGGAACUCCGGCUGGCUGCUGCUACAGAGUGUCAAUCUCUCCCCUAUCCUGAUUGGGGCUUUCUGAUGGUGAGUAGAAUUCUGGGAAAAAUAUUUUUGGGCAGGUGUUUUUUAUUCUCUGGCAUAGAGCU